AGAGCGGGGUGGGGUGCUGCUGGUGCCUGCUCACCUCCUCUGCCCUGGAAGCAGUGGAAUGGCGGGCCGGGAGCCUCUUCCUGCUCCCAUCACUUCCAAACACUCCUUACAGAGAAAUGCUGCCUGGUCUGGACAGUGGAGUUGCUGAUCUAAUCCGUGGGGUGGAGCAAGGUGCUCUUCUUUCUGGGAAUGGGAGGGACUUCGAGAAAUAGGGAGCCAAGUUCCCUUUUCUAACCCAAAGCACCGUGUUCGGCCUAGAGACUGGUGACACACCUGUGAGCUGGGUUUUGAUUGGGAAACUGAGAAACUGUCAAAGAGGAUUAGAAAGAUUGUCACUGGUUUCAGACCCUUUCCGCCUCUGGUGGGAGCGCCUGAAGACAAAUGCUCCACUGGCCAGUUAAUUAAGCCAGAUACAGUGCCACAAUCCUGUAAUCCCAGCGACUUGGGAGUCUGAGGUUCAGUUUCUAGCACUGAAAAAAACCCAGACUGACCUGUCUUAUAAGGCUUCCAGAAGAUUCAUCCCUGUAGAAGCACAGUUGUGCAGAUGGACACUGGGACUGGAACCAAACUCAGAGUUCAAGCUGUUAUAGGGCCAGGUGAGUCAGAACUAUAGAGAUGUGCCACACUCUGAAUUGAAUGGAGUCCUUUAUUAUAAGCUAGCUGAUUGAGAAUGUCUCAUGCCAAAAAUUCUCUACAAAGGAAAGGCAGUUUGCAGGGUCUUUUAAGGGCUCUUCCAUUUGGGGAGAGCUCAGGGAGAGGGAGUGCACAAGUGGAAUUUCACAGGAACAGAACUUUGCUUUGUCAGUGGGGGUCAGGGGUAGUUUCACGCAGUUUAACUAAAACAAAAUGUCACACAGGUCUUCUGUUUACAAGGUAGUAAAGAUAACAUAGUUGCAGACUUACAAGUCCUAUUUACAAGGCAGUAAAGAUGACAUAUUUGCAGAUUCACACAGGACACUGCAGUCUGUCAUGAAUUAACUGAGGGGACUCCCAAGGGGGAAGGGGAAGGCAAUGACCCAGAAUUACUGGACUUUACAGAAAUGGAGUCAGGUUGGGUAUCACAAAGCAUACCAAAAUCUGAGCUCGAAAUUCUUAUGUAAGUGCAAAAAUUAUCAAUAUAUGUGAGGCACUGAAGACUUUAACAUAUACUUUAAACUUUGACACAGAUCACUUAAGAUUGAAAAAGUAUAAUGUAUUUGUGCUGUGGUUGCAUGGUGAAUUCUAGACAAGCCUCAGAAUUCUCUACACUGAAAGUUACCUCUUAAUAUGGCCUUGGAUGCAGAAUUGGUAGAAUAUGGGGAAAGCAUUGACCUAACCUGUGAACCAUACAACCUGUAGUGACUGGCCUAACUCACCACAACUACCAUGAUUAUCAAAAAAAGGAGGAGGCCAAAGGGAAAAAUAAGGUUGUUUCAAGGCCAAACUAGCAGUUAUGUAGUAAGCAGUGAUGAGGAGGAGUUAUAUAUGUGGUCAAUAGUUCCUGUUGUAAGUCCCUGAGAGAAGAGGCCAUAAGUCAUACACUUUCUGGUGAUACCCAGUGUCAAAUUUGCAUGGAUAGACACUCAGAGGUUUAACUGGACACACAGCACAUCUACUUUACAGAAUGUGUCCACAGGGCUAUGGAUGUAGCUCAGUUGUAGAGAGAUCACUUAGAAUGUGUAAGGCCCCAAGGUUGAGUCAGAAGCAAUUUUACAUAAUUUUGGGGGAAAAUCAUUUCAUAAUUAAAUUAUGUUAGCCCUAGUUUUCCUGUGUAUAGGCUGGCUAUGGCAUGUCAAGACAUAACUCCCUUUUCACCUCUGGUCACAGCUAAAACCUCAAUGGUCCAGUGAUACUGUGAUGCUCCAAGGCAGGAUUACACCAGCUGAAGACAUCUUGAGAAGGAACAAAAUCUUCAUCUGCAUAGUUCCUCAUUAUUCUAGGAUUAUCAUUGUCCCCCUCUGAGACAUCUGUUACUCCUGAUGUACUGAAUAAAGGUGUGGCAAGCUUUGCUGCCCAGAGCAGAUUGAUCAGGCCCAAAGUUCAACUUCUUCUCUAAGUCUCAUUUUCUAUUAAUUAAUUUUCCUUGUGCUAUUGUGGCUCACCGGAGUCUAAGAUUCACUGCAGAAGUUCUAGUAACAUCCCCUUACCCUAUUGCCUAUAAGCUUGAUCCUCAGCAACACACACAAACACACACACACACACAGAAUGUGAGCACAUGUUCUGUAGCUGGUGCCUGCACAUCUCCCUUAAAUGUACUAAAACUUGCCCAGUUUGUUUGAAAAAAAUCAACCAGCAUCAGUAUUUGCUGGGUUUUCCCACUGUGCAGGCACCAUAGGUGUUAGCAACCAAUGCUAUUUUGGCAAUUUAAAAAAUUUUAUCUGGCUGUCAGGGCUGGUAAAGGUAGGUUUGAGGGUGAGGUCCCAGGGUAAAAAAAGCAUAUGGAGCUGCCACCAGCAACAACACCAAGAGAGCAGCAUGUCUUUAUUCCUCAUAUUCCUUAUAUUGGCUGCUAUCAAGCAUUACAGCAUUGUGUCCUGGCAUGACCAUGUUGCACAUGCAUGAUUGGUUAUACUAAGUCAUUCUUACAUAAGUUUGUCCUGCUGUGAACAUGUGCUAGACAGUGGGGUCAUGUCCUUACAGGGUCCUUAGGUGUCCCAGGCUUUAAAUCAACCCAGAGGGUCUCCCCACACUGGCAUAUAUAAAAAACUCAUUUUUUAUAACAGACACCUCUGCCCAGUUUUAGCAGGCCACAAGGCUACAUUUGAAGCCAUAUAAAUAAGGGCAGCAUCUUAGAGAUAGUGGAUCAAGUAGACACAAAGAACUUGGGAGACUGACAACUUUGCACACCAAAACCAUUACAGAGGUUUGGUCUUUUACUUGUGAGAGAAAUAACUUGGUUUUUUUCUUGCAGUGUUGGGGAUGGAACUGAA